AUUGAACGCUGGCGGCAGGCCUAACACAUGCAAGUCGAGCGAGCGGCGGACGGGUGAGUAAUGUAUGGGGACUGCCCGAUAGAGGGGGAUAACUACUGGAAACGGUAGCUAAUACCGCAUACUAUCGGAUAACCCAUAUGGGAUUAGCUAGUAGGUGAGGUAAUGGCUCACCUAGGCGACGAUCCCUAGCUGGUCUGAGAGGAUGAUCAGCCACCACUGGACUGGGACCCGGCCCAGACUCCUACGGAGGCAGCCGGGGGGAAAUUUGCAAAAUGGGGGUAAGCCUGAUGGCGCCAUGCCGCGUGUAAGAAGAAGGCCCUAGGGUUGUAAAGUACUUUCCGUUGGGAGGCGGUACCGACAGAAGAAGCACCGGCUAACUCCGUGCCAGCAGCCGCGGUAAUAC
rnacentral:rRNA from 1 species